rnacentral:rRNA from 1 species
AUGGUCGUCCCCGCGGCGGCAUCUCCCAAUCUUUACUUGCUCGACCUCGUGAAAUCCGGCCGCAUGCUCAUCGACCGUGGCCUCGUUCUCCCGGACGGCCAGGUGGACAACAUCUAUCUCCCAGUCGACACGUUCAAGCUCUUGCGCAUCGAUGACAGUGUUGUGUACAAGAAUGUCGGUGACAUCAAGGUGGUCGACAGGAGCCACCUCUACCCCGGACAGGUGGUCGGGUUGGCAUCUGACAUGGGCGGCCAGAUCGGCGUCGUCACCGGCGUCAACACCGUGCUCAACCUGGCCAAGCUCGACAACAACGGCGUGCCGACCAAGGUCAUCAGGGGGGUGUCCCCGUCUAGCCUGAGGCGCGUCAGGAGCCUCAACCUUGGCGACUUUGUCGUGUCCGGGCCGUGGCUCGGCCGCGUCGUCGAGGUGUCGAUCGAUGUCGAUGUGUUGUUCGAUGACGGAGCUGUCUGCAGGAUCACUGACGCGGAUUCCACGAACCUGGCGAGAGUGCAUGAAAUCGGCACCAUGGAGACCUUGCAUCGCCACCAGAUGAACAGUCAAUUCCACCAGGGGCAGCAGGUCUCCUUGCGAGGCGCUUGUUCACUCUUCAAGGAUGCUCGUUGGCUUAAUGGCUACUGGCAUCCUUACCGACAAGUAGGCACCAUCAUGAAGGUGGAGACGUCCGGCGUCCUCGUCUACUGGGUUGCAUCCAGGCAUUGUGGCACCGACAAGGGGCUAGUGGAGGCAUCCGCUCCUCCAGCCUACCAAAACCCAAACGAUCUUACGUUCUUCUGCGCUGCGUCCAAUUGCUGUUGGGGGCUUGCCGACCGCUGUUUUUUUCUUGAAACGAGUUCCGCCAAAGGGCAUGCAGCAUGUACACCUGAUCAAAAUAAGAACAACAACGAUGAUGAUGAUGAGAAGGAGGAGGAGUGGGAGGAGUGGGAGGGGGAGGAAUACAAUGCAUGCUCACAAGACAAUCAAGACGAGUGUGAAGCUGCUUCAACCUCUCAGGUGGUACCACCUACGAAGCAGAAUGAUGCGAGGUUUUAUCGGAAGCAGUUACGGAAGGUCGUCUUUGAGGGCCAUAGACGGGCGCAACGCCCACGAGUAAUGAGACAUGUGGAGGUGGAGUUUCCAAUGGUCGUCGCCAACACCUGCACCACCGUCGAUGUGUUGUGGCAGGACGGCACACGGCAACAUGGCAGACCUUCAGCAACCCUUGUUCCCUUUGGGAUCGUGAAUGAGCAAGAGUUCUUCCCGGGGCAACAUGUCGUCGCCGACGUCAUUCUUAACAAUGAUGUCAUUGACACUACAGGAGACCAUGUUGGCGGCACAACAACUACUAGUUUCAACAACGACAUUGCUGCUGCUGGCAUUGGACCAACGAAGUGUGUGGGCAUCGUCAAGAGCCUGCAAUACGAGGACCAGACGGUUUGUGUGUCAUGGUUAAAGACGCCAAGGCACCCUAAUGAGGCUAGGGAGGUCGAGUGCCAUGAUACCGUCAGUGCUUAUGACCUAAAAUUGGACUCUAACCACUCUGCUUACUACGGUGAUAUUGUCAUUCGUCUCCUACCUCCAGGAUCAACAGAUGACGGUGAAAGCACACCACCGUUACAGGGAAACAAGAAGACAAAUGCUAUUCCCGCCGAUCUUUCAUGGGUGGGGCGGGUAGUUGAACUUCCUAAUGGGCACAUCCAAGUCAAAUGGGGUGAUGGUAGCAUGUCAACGGUAUUGCCCCAUGAGAUCGCUGUUGUCAAGGACGAGCACUACAUGGAGCUAUGGAAUGAAAUGGGCGACUGGGUAGAGGACGAUGGCAUCGAUGGCGACUUGCUAGAGGACGAUGGCAUUGAUGAUGCACCCGAAGAACCAGCUGCAGCCAGCACGGAUCUAGGUAACGAUGUCGAAGGCGUCAACCCGGCAGUUUCGAGUACAAGCCUUUUAGGGUUUUCAUUCCGGUCUUUGCUCCAAUUGACCGGCGACAUGGUGGCUCGAGGUAAAGGAUACCUGAUGAACUGGCAGCCCUCGUCAACGUCGUUACCAAGCUCAGAGUUGCCAGUGCCCACGGAUGAUGAUAGCAUCGGUGGUGCUGCAAUGGUUAUUAGCGAUGCAGAUGUGACCAGCCACGGUUAUGACAAGGAGAGGACGAAGGCUGCAGAUGCAGAUGCUACCUGUUGCUGCGACGAAUCAUUCUACUUUCCAUGUUUCGAUGUACUACAGAUCAGCCCUUUGGAUCACCACUACCUUGACUCUACGGACCAGGAAAUGCAAGGCGCUAGUCGAGGGAAGAGUUGGGCCAAAACGGUGCAAAAGGAAUGGAAAAUUCUGGAGAAAGACUUACCAGAAACCAUCUACGUGCGAGCAUUCGAGGACCGCAUGGAUCUGCUUCGGGUGGUGAUGGUGGGCGCGAGCGGGACGCCAUACGAUCACGGCCUCUUCUUCUUCGAUCUGCAGCUGCCUCCGUCGUACCCGGAUGCUCCACCACAAGUGUACUACCACUCCUUCGGCCUACGCCUCAAUCCCAACCUCUACGAGUCUGGUACAGUGUGCCUCAGCCUGCUAAACACAUUCGGUGGCGAGGGCACCGAGGUCUGGUCGUCAGCAACGUCCAGCCUCCUCCAAGUCGUUGUCUCCAUCCAGGGCCUCGUCCUCAAUGACCAACCAUACUACAACGAAGCCGGCUAUGAGACACUGGCCGGCAAACCGGAGGGCCACCGCAAUGCACUGCCCUACAAUGAGAAUGCUUACCUACUAACCCUCCGGACCAUGCAACACCUUUUACGUCGGCCACCUCGGGGAUUUGAGGAAUUCAUCAAGGAACACUUCCGCCGUCAGGGAAAAUUUGUGCUUAGGACAUGCAAUGUGUGGCUUCAGGGAAAUGUUGUUGACGAUGCCCAUGCCACUGAAGCGACUAGGAAGCGACCGUGCUCGGCUGGGUUAAGGCUUGCACUCACAAACAUGACGCCAAGCCUCGUGGCAGCGUUCACCGAGAUCGGCGCCGAGGGGUGUGAAGAGUUCCAGUAG